rnacentral:rRNA from 1 species
UGGGGAAUAUUGCACAAUGGGCGCAAGCCUGAUGCAGCCAUGCCGCGUGUGUGAAGAAGGCCUUCGGGUUGUAAAGCACUUUCAGCGUGGAGGAAGGCGUUAAGGUUAAUAACCUUGGCGAUUGACGUUACCCGCAGAAGAAGCACCGGCUAACUCCGUGCCAGCAGCCGCGGUAAUACGGAGGGUGCAAGCGUUAAUCGGAAUUACUGGGCGUAAAGCGCACGCAGGCGGUCUGUCAAGUCGGAUGUGAAAUCCCAGGGAUCAGCCUGGGAACUGCAUUCGAAACUGGCAGGCUAGAGUCUUGUAGAGGGGGGUAGAAUUCAAGGUGUAACGGUGAAAUGCGUAGAGAUCUGGAGGAAUACCGGUGGAGAAGGCGGCCCCCUGGACAAAGACUGACGCUCAGGUGCGAAAGAGUGGGGAGCAAACAGG